AGAAACUCCUUUUGGUUUGCACAUUCCUCUCUCCUUGUGUGGCAGCUCCUGAGCGGAGGGAAACGCAGGCCCUGCUGGCACCUCAGCUGCACACGGGAUGAAGAGUGUGAAAAUGCCUGUGAUACAUCCAUAAGUGCCGGGUGAAUGACACAAUGUGGCUAACGGCAUCACAAGAGUCAUCUGAGUAGAGGAGGUGUUAAGAUAGAGGCUUGGAAUAAGGGACAUACUGUCUUGGUCCUAGCAGUGUCACUGCUGCUCUCUGCUAGUCCUCGCAGGCAGGACAGACAGACAGAAACGUCUGUUGUUUGCAGGCCUGUGUGCUGCAAAUUCUAAUCAGUGAUUUGUGUGAUUCUGACUGGGAUCCCUUCUCUUGCAGUUUGCCCCUAACGUGUAAAUUGACAUGCAGAGGAGGCUGGCAGCUCUGCAUCUGUUUUGAUGGAAAGCCCAGGACCCAGAAAGACAUUUAAAGUUAAGUGUAGAUGUUACUGCCACUCCAACUUAGUAUUGUCUGUUUUAGCUGAAGUUUUAGGCGCCACUUAACAGAAUACUUCUGGUUACAGAGAGGAGUUUGAAAAUGUAACCCAGAUGAACACUGAGGAGUUCAGAAUCGGAAGGCGAUGAAAGGAAAACUCAGUAUGCUGUUUUUAAAAGGUUAAGGUACUCUAAGCCUAACAUAGCCCAGGUAAACCUUUCAGGCUAGCAAUGCUGAGAACUUGUGAAAAAUACUAGCUUGUAUUAGCUUGCUUUUUGAUCUUUGUUUUCAAGCGUCAGGGUAAAGCCGACUGUGGGUCAGAUGAGGCCAGAUGAGACGCUUGCUGGGCACUCUGAAUUCCUCAUUUCUAUGGUAGCUCAAGCCACGGAAAGUUGCAGAGCAAAAGUCCUGUUGCCCAGACAGUUGCAACUCUGGUGCUAAGCCUCUGAAGUUUGGGAGGCUGGGAUUGUGUAAGCUGUGAUUCAGCAGAACCCAGCGACUACGGGCACAUUAAAAUGAAGGAAUGGACUUCAUUACGAAACAAAAGCAUUAUUGCAUUUAAAAUGAUUAGAGAUUAAACCAAUGCUUUUUAUGUUUACAGGAGGUGCUACAUUAUGUUUAGAAGGAAUUGUGUUAUAUUCUCAACAGCUAUUAAAAUAUAUGAAGUAUAUGCUUUAACAUGAAGACUUUUUUUAGUAUAAUAUCAACUUGCAGGAAGGAAGGGGGAGGUCCCCCCUGCUGAGCUGCUUCUGAGCUCCCCAAAGUGGCAUAAAACAAUUCUGUAACUUCCAUGUUGUUGUUGUUAGAAUUAUUAAUUUAUGUUUUAUUACAGCUUCCAAAACCAUGUUAUAUUUUGGUUUUAACAGUAGUUGAUUCUAAUAUUAAUCUUAUUUAGAAACCAGUUUUAAUUCCUUUCCUAUUUCAUACUUGGGGCUAAUUCCUUGUUAAUUAGCCUUCAUUCAUUUUAAUAAUGGGAUAUGUAAAUACGUAUAUAGACUUUAUAUCCUCACUUCCCCUUCCUCUCAUGUAUUUCAGUUAUUUCCAAUGACAUAGUGUAACCAAACCACCUUUGCUAAUGUACCACCCUCAGCCGUGUCAGCAUAACAUCGGGGGGAACAAAACCAGUUUUCUCUAAGUGAAUAGACACUCCAGCACAUGGAAUGUAUGGGUAACAAAGGGAGAGAAUCCCCUUGCACACUGAGAAGGAAGCAGCAGGGUACAGCAGAGAACUGUGCCCGCUUCAUCUGAACUUAAGCCCCAACCCAGCAAAUGUUGGAUACUCUGAAUUUUGCCCGUGUAUUCGGGGGCUUAUGUGCAGUGCAUAACGCUGAGCAUGUAACCAAGUCCUUGCUGUAUCAGCGCCAGUUAUUCAGGGUUUAAAGUUGCUGUAUUAUACUUGAACUUGCUGAAGGCAGAUAAAUAGGGGCUUUGUAGUAAGUGCUGCUGAGCACCUUCUUUUAGCCCAAAGCCAUUUAAAAGGCAUCAGGCUACCAGUGCACGUUGUACCACAAAGAGCUGCCGGAGCGGGAAGCACUUGGUCGCAUCAUUUCUCUAAUGUGAGAGUUUCUCCAGGCUAUUUGCCUGCCUGUUACAAAGCGGGCUUAGAUAGCUCCACUGUCCUGUCACUUACAGGAGGAAACUGGAAACUGCUCUGUGUGUGUGUGUAUGUGUGUGUGUAAGAGGAGCGUGUGCGUAAAGAAUUCUGUACCUCUUCUCUAUCAUUUAAUUGCUCACGUAUUUUUGUUUGACAAGUGCACCAAUUGUUUAUAGCUCCCAAGGAGGCCUAGCAGUGCAUUUCUGUGUUAAGAUCCUUUGGCUGACAGUACAAAUAAAUGAAGUUUCAAGCAA
ensembl:lncRNA